rnacentral:rRNA from 1 species
UAGGGAAUCUUCGGCAAUGGACGAAAGUCUGACCGAGCAACGCCGCGUGAGUGAAGAAGGUUUCCGGAUCGUAAAACUCUGUUGUUAGAGUAGAACAAGGACGUUAGUAACUGAACGUCCCCUGACGGUAUCUAACCAGAAAGCCACGGCUAACUACGUGCCAGCAGCCGCGGUAAUACGUAGGUGGCAAGCGUUGUCCGGAUUUAUUGGGCGUAAAGCGAGCGCAGGCGGUUUCUUAAGUCUGAUGUGAAAGCCCCCGGCUCAACCGGGGAGGGUCAUUGGAAACUGGGAGACUUGAGUGCAGAAGAGGAGAGUGGAAUUCCAUGUGUAGAGGUGAAAUGCGUAGAUAUAUGGAGGAACACCAGUGGCGAAGGCGGCUCUCUGGUCUGUAACUGACGCUGAGGCUCGAAAGCGUGGGGAGCAAACAGG